GAUGAACGCUGGCGGCGUGCGUAACACAUGCAAGUCGAACGCAGAUUCGGCGCUGACGAGUGAAAUAGCUUGCUAUGGAACAAAUCUUGCCAAAGAUUAGUGGCGGACGGGUGAGUAACGCGUGGACAACCUGGCCCAUACAGGGGGACAGCAGCUGGAAACGGCUGAUAAUACCGCAUAAGCGCACAGUAUCACAUGGUACAGUGUGAAAAGAUGUAGCAUCAGUUUAGUGAUGCCGCGGUAUGGGAUGGGUCCGCGUCCGAUUAGCCAGUUGGCGGGGUAACGGCCCACCAAAGCGACGAUCGGUAGCCGGCCUGAGAGGGCGGACGGCCACAUUGGGACUGAGACACGGCCCAGACUCCUACGGGAGGCAGCAGUGGGGGAUAUUGCACAAUGGGGGGAACCCUGAUGCAGCGACGCCGCGUGGGUGAAGAAGUAUUUCGGUACGUAAAGCCCUAUCAGCAGGAAGAAGAAUGACGU
rnacentral:rRNA from 1 species